rnacentral:rRNA from 1 species
UACGAAGGGGGCUAGCGUUGCUCGGAAUGACUGGGCGUAAAGGGCGCGUAGGCGGUUUGUACAGUCAGAUGUGAAAUUCCUGGGCUCAACCUGGGGGCUGCAUUUGAUACGUGCGGACUUGAGUGAGGAAGAGGGUCGUGGAAUUCCCAGUGUAGAGGUGAAAUUCGUAGAUAUUGGGAAGAACACCGAUGGCGAAGGCGAGGUCUCUGGGCCACUACUGACGCUGAGAAGCGAAAGCAUGGGGAGCCGAACAGG